rnacentral:rRNA from 1 species
AUUGAACGCUGGCGGCAUGCCUUACACAUGCAAGUCGAACGGCAGCACGGGAUCAAUCCUGGUGGCGAGUGGCGAACGGGUGAGUAAAGUAUCGGAACGUGCCCAGUCGUGGGGGAUAACGUAGCGAAAGUUACGCUAAUACCGCAUACGAUCUAUGGAUGAAAGCGGGGGAUCGCAAGACCUCGCGCGAUUGGAGCGGCCGAUAUCAGAUUAGGUAGUUGGUGGGGUAAAGGCCCACCAAGCCGACGAUCUGUAGCUGGUCUGAGAGGACGACCAGCCAGACUGGGACUGAGACACGGCCCAGACUCCUACGGGAGGCAGCAGUGGGGAAUUUUGGACAAUGGGCGAAAGCCUGAUCCAGCCAUGCCGCGUGCAGGAUGAAGGCCUUCGGGUUGUAAACUGCUUUUGUACGGAACGAAAAGGACUGCCCUAAUACGGUGGUCCCAUGACGGUACCGUAAGAAUAAGCACCGGCUAACUACGUGCCAGCCGCCGCGGUAAAAC